CACUUCCCAGUUGGUUAAUGCAGCAGCAGCAGCUCCAACAACACAAAAACUUCCGAGGCAACAAACAAAAAACUGGUCAAAAACCAUUGAAGCAUGAUUUUAAUGCCACAAAAGGCAAAGCCAAAGACCGACGGAAAGAAACCCACACGGCAAAAGAAAAAAAAAUGGGUAUCGUUGCUUAAUUUCAAAUUGUGGCAUGCAUAGAAAACCAUUGAGCAUUGUGACGCAUUAAAAAAAGAAUAGAAAGAAGGAGAAAUGCUGCCAUUAGAAAGCGAUUGGCUGCCAGCACUUUUAUGCUAUAAUUGUAUUGGCCAACAUGGGUUAACACAUUGUGCUAGUGUGAGUGUGUGUGUGAACAAUAAAAAUGAUGCUGAUUCAGCAUUUGUCGAGGCCAUAAAUAGCAGUUGUCUCGGGUCCAACAAAUCGCAUAACCCAAAGCCAUAUAUCAAGCAUAAAAUUCAACAAUCUGCAAUUGAAAUAAAUGAAGCAAGGAAUGAAAGGAAUGCCAGAAUAUUAUUUAAGCAUAGUAAGCAAACCAAUAUAUGCAUAACACAUCAACUCAAUUCAGGUAAAAUAAAAAAAAUAACAAAAAUCUGCGAACAACUUUUAUUCGCUUGGAACUAUCAGCGUGGCAAUCUGAAUGCUCAUUAGUCGCAGCAUAGAAAUUAGGUCAUAAAAUAUCCAUUAGGCACACACACACACGCACUCAACACAUACACAAAUUAUAGUGCAAAAAUCAACUGAGCUCACGAUAUGUGCUCAUCUAAUCGAAAAGCCGUGUACUCUAAAGUACAUUCAGUUUAACCUCGAGGGAUGGAAGGGAUGUUGUUCACAUUAUUCGCAUCGAGGGCAGUUCGCUGCUUUUGCUACGAUGAUGAUGGCUCCGAUAUGCGUUGAAGCGGUCAAUUUUUAGUUGACGUGCAGUCGCGUAAUUACAAUCCUAAAAUGGUGACAUGUUCGUUGACCGCCCGCCCACAACUGCUUUCCCCUCCUCUCCCUCUCUCAUUGUAUUUGCAAAAUUAUCAAUUGUGCGAGCAAAUGUUGAAGGGGGCCAGAGGAAGAGAGAUAUAUGUAUAUAGAAGGAGACAACCCGAGACAGCGACUGUGACGCUUCGUGUGCAAUUUGGAAAACUAAAUUGUUCUAUUGUAUUUAAGUUAAUUACUCAUGCUAAUGCUAAUUUGCCCUGUCGACAUUUGUCGUUCGCGACGCUGUUGACAACAAUUGCCAUGACUUCUACUGGAAUUUUGCAUUUGCUGCGGCUAUUUCAACUUUGUUUUUUGUUGCAGUCUGUACAUAAAUUUGCUUCAAAUAUAUACAUUAGUCGCCAACUAAUUUGCACAGUAUAUAGAAA